GAAUUUUGGACAAUGGGCGAAAGCCUGAUCCAGCAACGCCGCGUGCAGGAUGAAGGCCUUCGGGUUGUAAAAUGCCUUUGUACGGAACGAAAAGCUUUGGGUUAAUACCCUGGAGUCAUGAAGGUACCGUAAGACUAAGCACCGCACAACUACUUGGCAGCAGCCGCGGUAAUACGGAGGGUGCAAGCGUUAAUCGGAAUUACUGGGCGUAAAGCGUGCGCAGGCGGUUUUGUAAGACAGAGGUGAAAUCCCCGGGCUGAACCUGGGAACUGCCUUUGUGACGGCAAGGCUAGAGUACGGCAGAGGGGGGUGGAAUUCCGCGUGUAGCAGUGAAAUGCGUAGAUAUGCGGAGGAACACCGAUGGCGAAGGCAACCCCCUGGGCCUGUACUGACGCUCAUGCACGAAAGCGUGGGGAGCAAACA
rnacentral:rRNA from 1 species